ensembl:lncRNA
CAGUAUUUCAGGACCUGGGAAAGGAAGUGCAAUCCUGACUUGUCCUGCUGAAGUAGGAGGUGGGAUUGGGGGAGGUGCACCCUAGCUGUCACAUCUCUGGAAAGGAAGCUCAAAGCAGGCUAAUGACUUUCCUUACCCCUGCUGUAAUACUAUUGCCCACCCUAUGGUCUGAAUGUGAGUCUUCUCACUAGAGAGCAGGAGUCAUGUGAUUUCAAUAUGACCAUUCAGGAGAGUCCUGGUUGGCUAGCCAGUCUGAUUGGCCAAGUUGUGGAAAUGUGACCAAUUAAGUCAUAGUUACAGUUGGUGCAGGGUGGCUGAGACAGUUGGUAACUGGCCUGCUAUCAUUGAGGUUAAGGUUUCACUCUGGGACUCCAGAGGCAGAGACAGUAUGCUGAGGCAGUGUGUGACACCAUGAUUACAGGACAGCGGCUCUUGUCUACUCCUCAAACACCCAGCUCACAGUAGCACCAGCCAUGAUGUCAUGGUCAAACUGGUCAAGCACGGCACCCUAUCCCAGCUCCUGACUUUGUAUUUGCAACAUGUCCUGGAUCUGUGACCACCAGCAGCAGGUGAGUUACCCAUGGGAAAUGGGACCCUUUGGUUCCUUUUGCACAUUUACUAGGCUGAACAGUCAUAUCCACUCUCUCCCAGCAAAUGGUGCAAUGACCUUUCUGAACAAGAUGUGAAAGUGUUUCCCGCUGAGCCUUGAGAGGUGAACAUACAUUGCGCCUGUCAUCUGGACAGAACAACUUGAGGAAGGGCCAUCCAUAUUCCUGCUCCCUAACCAGGACACUGCUAAGAAACACAAUGCGUGAACCUGCUGCAGGGUGGAGAAGAGACAACUUGAGCCUUUUCCCGCACACUUGUGCACUCCUUCUAGAUGUGAUCUUGGAUGAGGUAUAAGAGUAAUUGUGGCUUCAUAGAAGGAAUUUGGUAGCACUCCAUCAGCUUCAAUUUUGUGGAAAAGUUUGGAUAAUAUCGAUAUGAGCUCUUAAAGGUCUGAUAGAAUUCUGCACGGAACAUAUUUGGACCUGGUAAGCCCCAUUUUUAAGGAACCCAGAGCCCCUGCAUUGCAUUUCUACUGAUGUGGCUUUUCAUUUAGUUCACAAACAUCCAGGGACCAGGGGGAAGCUUAAAGCUUGCCAGACAGAACAAACGAGAACCAUGUCCUGCGACAGCAAAGAGGACACUUAGGAGCACUUGGACACCUCUGUUUUUUGCAAUCGUGGAAACCUCCAUAGGAAGUGGCAUGCAUCGCCACUUUUGAGCAGGGCGGUGGCUUUGGCCAGGGGAUCACUCCUGGCAUCCCUCAGUGUUUCCUGCACGGCAAGAACUAGGCCAUAAAGGGCAAAAGGGGAUUCUGGGGCCAUGCCCCGAAUCCCUGCAAAUAAAAAAGUUAGACCAAGUGUGAAGGCUAGCAUGGGGAAAAAUAAGACCUUUAAUAUUAUUUUUUAUAAAAUUGUUCUUCUUGCCACGUCUUGGCUACAUUGUACUUCCAGUUUCACUGAGUGGUAUGGGCCACUUGUGGGUGUGUCGUCUGGGACAUGCUUUCAUGGUCUUUGUUGAAAAGUCUGGUGUAAUUUUGAUAGGUCUGCCUUAAUAUGUUACUUGACCUUUUUCCCUUAUUGCUUUUAAUGUUCUUUCUUUGUUUUCUGCAUUUGAUGUUUUCACUAUUAUGUGUCGGAAGGAAUUUUUUUUUUCUGUUCUAAUCUAUCGAGUUCUAUGGGCUUCUUGGGUGUUCAUGGGCAUCUCAUUUUUUGUUGUUGUUGCUUUGUUUUAGUUUGAGGAAGUUUCCGCCUAUAAUUAGUUGAAGAUAUUUAAGUUGGGAAUCUUCACUCUCUUCUAUACCUAGUAUCCUUAAGGUUGGUCUUCUCACUGUGUCCCUGAUUUCCUGGAUGGUUUGGGUUAGGACCUUUUUUCACUUUGCAUGUUCUUUGAUUGUUGUGUCUAUGUUUUCUAUGGUAUCUUCUGCUCCUGAGAUUUUCCCUUGUAUCUCUUGUAUUCUAUUGGCGAUGCUUGCAUCUAUGAUUCCUGAUCUCUUUCCUAGGUGUUCUAUCUUGAGGGCUCUUGUCUUUUGAUAUUUCUUUAUUGUUUCUGUUUCGGUUUUUAAAUCUAGGCUGUUUUUGUUCAAUUCCUUUACCUGUUUGGUUGUAUUUUCCUGUAUUUCUUCAGGGGAGUUAUGGUCUCCUCAAAGGACGCCAUCAUUAUCUUGGGAUAUGAUUUUACCUUCGAAUCUUGCUUUAUAGGUGUGAUGGCAAGUCCAGAACUUACUGUAGGGGGAUAACUUGUUUCUGAUGAUAAGUAGCCUUGGUUUCUACGGCUUAUGUUCUUCUGCUUGCCAUUUGCCAUCUGCUUUCCUCUAGUGCCUGCCUGACCUGUCUCUGACUGGAGCGUGUAAUUCUUGUGAUCUUGGUUGUGUCAGAACUCUCAGAGUCCAGGUGUCUUUCUGAUCCUGGGAUCCUACGUUUGCAAAGCUUCUGGAGGUCAAGUUGCCUCUGAGAUACUGAACUCCUAGUGACCAAGCUCCUGAGUUUCUGUUUUGUCACAGCUCCUGUGAUUCAAAAUUUGUCUGCAUGUUGAACAAGUGGAUUGGAGGGAAUUGAGAAGCCUGAGAUUCCUUGGAGCAUAGAUAAAAUCUGGGACAAACCUGGGCCUCUGUGUGGGUGGGGUUUUUGUUUUCCUGCUUUCUGUGUGGGUACCAGUUAUGCUGUGUUUUGGGAAGGAAGUCGUUUCCUCAACUGUGACCUUGAGUGUGUCAGUUCUGCAGGGCUCCUGCCUGUGUCAAUCUCCUGGUUGUUGAGCUUCCUCUGUGAUCCUGUGUUCCUGAGAUCCUGAGCAUGUUCGAGAACCUGGGUGAUGGGCUUCCUUUGGGUGUUGUGGGAAUGGGUAUGGGACCAGUGUCCAAUGACUGCUCAGGGCACC